GAUGAGUUGCUUAUGAUAGUACAAUAUGGUUCAAGGUUCUAAAUGCUCUUUGUUUUCUCAUUUCAUUACCUCCUCCUUGUACAGUAAAAGCUGUAUAUUUAUGACAGGAAUUAUGACUGGAGUCUCAUUUGGUUAAUUUCUACUGUUGUUCAAGCUCAUUAUUGACGAAGAUGGCAAAGAGGAAUAAGCACAUUUAUUCUAUACAAAUAACAUUGGGUAUUCACUACAUAAUUCUGUCUAGUUGUGGAGGAGGUGUUCCAAAGACAUGGUAAUUCACUUAUAAUAUGUGGCCUUUGAUAAUCUGCUUGUGUAGAAUGGGAUAGGAGGACAAGGAAUAUCCGGACGCGGAUCCAUGGAUCCAGUAGGGGCCAGCUGGACUACGCGCUCCAGGCCAUCCAGCGGACAGAAGAGGAAGGGAAGGGAAGGGGGGAGCUCUUUUGUCGCGACAAAAGCCAUCGCGAAAGGGAUGCCGGUAAAGGAGGGGAGCUCUUUCGUCGCGACGUGCUCAGUGGGUCGUUUGCUAAAUCCCUUGUAAUUUUGCUCCGCAACAAAGUGAUAUCUGAACUUCGUGCCUUACCAGGUCAUCUCUCAUAUAGGUCUAAAGAAACCUAAUUACACGGAAAUUGCACUCGGUAAUGCUUGUUGUUAGCUAGUUAAAUGACUAGGUAUUCCUCUGGAUCCAUUCUAGCUAUGUAAACUGACUUGUGUACUUAUGAAGUAUAUCACUCGACACGUUACUUUAGGAGCAGAUUUCUCAUUCAUCUCAGGAAUAGGAAACCUCAACUUGCUUGGUUACAUGUCAAU
rnacentral:lncRNA from 1 species